GACGAACGCUGGCGGCGUGCUUAACACAUGCAAGUCGAACGGGAGUAUCGAAGAAGCUUGCUUUUAGAUACUUUAGUGGCGGACGGGUGAGUAACGCGUGAGGAGCUGUCCUAUGCAGGGGGACAACAGUUGGAAACGACUGCUAAUACCCCAUCAGCCGAGAGGUAAAAGGAGCGAUCCGGUAGAGGAGGUACUCGUGUCCUAUCAGCUAGUAGGUGAGGUAACGGCUCACCUAGGCGAAGACGGGUAGCCGGCCUGAGAGGGCGAACGGCCACACUGGAACUGAGAUACGGUCCAGACUCCUACGGGAGGCAGCAGUGGGGAAUAUUGGGCAAUGGGGGCAACACUGACCCAGCGACGCCGCGUGGGUGAAGAAAUCCCUCGGGAUGUAAAGCCCUGUUGUAUGGGAAGAGCAGAAGACGGUACCAUACGAGGAAGCCCCGGCAAACUACAUGCCAGCCGCAGCAGUAAAAC
rnacentral:rRNA from 1 species